GACGAACGCUGGCGGCGUGCUUAACACAUGCAAGUCGAACGGAAAGGCCCUGCUUUUGUGGGGUGCUCGCGUGGCGAACGGGUGAGUAACACGUGAGUAACCUGCCCUUGACUUUGGGAUAACUUCAGGAAACUGGGGCUAAUACCGGAUAGGAGCUCCUGCUGCAUGGUGGGGGUUGGAAAGUUUCGGCGGUUGGGGAUGGACUCGCGGCUUAUCAGCUUGUUGGUGGGGUAGUGGCUUACCAAGGCUUUGACGGGUAGCAGGCCUGAGAGGGUGACCGGCCACAUUGGGACUGAGAUACGGCCCAGCCUCCGACGGUAGGCAGCAGUGGGGAAUAUUGCACAAUGGGCGGAAGCCUGAUGCAGCAACGCCGCGUGCGGGAUGACGGCCUUCAGGUUGGAAACCGCUUUCGCCUGGGACGAAGCGUGAGUGACGGUAAUGGGUAAAGAAGCACCGGCUAACUACGUG
rnacentral:rRNA from 1 species